UAACACGUAAACAAACCGCCUUCAGGAUGGGGACAACAGACGGAAACGACUGCUAAUACCGAAUACGUUCCACGGGCCGCAUGACCUGUGGAAGAAAGGGUAGCCUCUACCUGUAAGCUAUCGCCUGAAGAGGGGUUUGCGUCUGAUUAGGCAGUUGGUGGGGUAACGGCUCACCAAACCAACGAUCAGUAGCCGGUCUGAGAGGAUGAACGGCCACACUGGAACUGAGGCACGGUCCAG
rnacentral:rRNA from 1 species